AACGAACGCUGGCGGCGUGGAUUAGGCAUGCAAGUCGAACGAGAAAAGUCUCUUCGGAGACUGAGUAGAGUGGCAAACGGGUGAGUAACGCGUGGGAAACCUACCUUUCGGUUGGGGAUAACACUUCUAACGAGGUGCUAAUACCGGAUACGAUCGUCCUGUCGCAUGGUGGGGCGAUGAAAGGCGGCCUCUGUUUACAAGCUGUCGUCGAAAGAUGGUCCCGCGUCCCAUUAGCUAGUUGGUGAGGUAAUGGCCCACCAAGGCACCGAUGGGUAGCCGGCCUUAGCGGGUGUCCGGCCACACUGGGACUGAGAUACGGCCCAGACUCCUACGGGUGGCAG
rnacentral:rRNA from 1 species